CCUCAGGCGUCUCCUCCUCCUCCCUCCUUCCCCCUCCUCUCUCCUCCCCUCCUCCCGCGCGCCCCGCUUUGUGUCCGUGGUCUCCCGCGCGGGACGGAGGGACUGGCCGGAGCUGGCGCUUUCUCAGCACUAGAUCUGGACUCCGACCCGGCGCCAGGGCUGCAGCGCCUGGGCUCCUGGGACACCUAGGCCCUGUGGGCCGGUUACUAAGGUGGAAGGGACCGACCUCUCCCUGGCAGGUGCUCUAUUUCCGCGAUGAGAGGGGGAGAGGCUGGGAGCCCCGUCGCCAAGCCGAAAGGGAUGGAAAGCGCCUACCUUUGUCCUUUCCGUUCCCCUCCCCCCAUGCUCCUUCAGUGCCUCAAGAUCCUGAAGGGAAAGAAGAGAGAGCCUGCGACCUUUUCCACGAGGCUCUUCUGAUCGAGGACAGAAGUGCAGGGAGGUAACUCACAGGAGAGAGAGCUUGUUGGUCUGAGAAUACAGUCGCUUUGAAUCGAAGAUACAUGACUUACGAGAACAAAUGAUGAACAGCAGCAUGAGCUCUGGGUCUGGGUCCCUCCGAACAAGUGAAAAGAGGUCCUUGUAUGUCAGGGCCCUGUUUGAUUAUGAUCGGACUCGGGACAGCUGCCUGCCAAGCCAGGGGCUCAGCUUCUCUUAUGGUGACAUUCUGCAUGUCAUUAAUGCCUCUGAUGAUGAGUGGUGGCAGGCAAGGCUGGUGACCC
rnacentral:sRNA from 1 species